rfam:Ixodes scapularis strain Wikel colony gcontig_1108379460427, whole genome shotgun sequence.
GCCCGGUUUGCUCAGUUGGUAGAUCGCUUCGCUGGAAAUUGAGAGGUCCCUGGUUCGAUACCCGGACCAGGCG